CCCGAGAUGCUACUAAAUAAAGAGCAACACGAUGAGACAGGCGAGGCGGUGGUUGCAGUGCCUCUGACCCACUAGAAACUACUGGAAAUAUGCACACAUUGUUUGAUUGUUCUGUAUAUUUGUGUUAAGUGUGUGUGGUUUUUUUUUUGUGUGUGUGUCUACUCUGUUUUUAGAUCACUGGAUGAACUGGACAGCCAAGACGACAAUUAUCAAUAUUUAAACCAGCCAGUGUUGAGAUUCUUUAAGGAUCCUUAUCUCUCCACAUGCUUGCCAGGGCUCCCUGAUAUUGUUGCAGAAGGGGUUCUCCAGGGAUUUUACCCGCGGGACGUCCGGGUCAGUUUCACCGCCUCUGCUCUCGCCACACCUGAUCACAGCUCGUCUGUAGAAGCCUGAAGAAAAGCACAACCGAGCACACAAUACAGCACACAGACAGCUGACGUCAAAGAAACCUUUUGAAAGGAGAAGCUCAAUGGAACUACAGCUCAUCAGGAUACUGUUGCUGAAAUGGUUGUAUUUAUAGCAAGUUUCUAUCAAAUAUUUACUCAUUAGUGUUGAAUUUCCCUUUUAAAUUGUGGACAUUCCAAUAAAACUAUUGUGCAGCUAUUAUAAAAUGUUUUUUUAAUAACCAUUCCUGCAUUGUUUAUGAUAUAAAGAAGUAAUCUUUAAAGUCUUUGCUUUACCAUCAUGUUAAAACUGUACACAUUUUAUCAGUUUUUUGGUGAAAUGUUUUUGAAUUAAAAUUGCAAUAAAAGUUUUAAAUAAACAUUUGAGUAUUCUAU
rnacentral:lncRNA from 1 species